CCAGACUCCUACGGGAGGCAGCAGUGGGGAAUAUUGGGCAAUGGGGGAAACCCUGACCCAGCGACGCCGCGUGAGGGAAGAAGGUUUUCGGAUUGUAAACCUCUGUCCUUGGUGACGAUAAUGACGGUAGCCAAGGAGGAAGCCACGGCUAACUACGUGCCAGCAGCCGCGGUAAUACGUAGGUGGCGAGCGUUGUCCGGAAUUACUGGGUGUAAAGGGAGCGUAGACGGCACGGCAAGCCUGAUGUGAAAGCCCGCGGCCCAACCGCGGGACUGCAUUGGGAACUACCGGGCUGGAGUGCCGGAGAGGUAGGCGGAAUUCCUAGUGUAGCGGUGAAAUGCGUAGAUAUUAGGAGGAACACCAGUGGCGAAGGCGGCCUACUGGACGGUGACUGACGCUGAGGCUCGAAAGCGUGGGGAGCAAACAGGAUUAGAUACCCGAGUAAA
rnacentral:rRNA from 1 species